AGGAUGGUUGUCUUUUUCUUUUUCUUUUUCUUUUUCUUUUCUUCUUGUUCAAAGAAAGGGGGU
rnacentral:ribozyme from 1 species